ACUGGCCAAUGGUGAUCCUACCCUGACCCUGCUGGUCAUUGUCCACUAACAUGUAAUGUUACCAGUGAAGAAAGCAGUAACAGAACUUGAGAGAGUCUCUGGUAAGAGACAUACUGCCUGGAACAGUUGGAAUGCACACCCUGUGUGAACGAACACACAUAUAAGCUCCUGAUUCUCCAGAGACUAUGAUGGACUGACUCAUCUUGAGCACUUUCAUGUCACGGAAUGCUUUAUCAGCUUAAAAAGAAGAAUACAUUAAACCUGACACAUACUAAUAUUCAGCAGAAUUGCAAGGAUAAAGUUGAGCUACAAUGCAAAAA